UCAAGGCGCCUGCAGUCCUGCACGUCUUCGCCAUCACAACCGAGACUAAGCUACGUGAUCUCAAAUGCAUCUUUUUCUCUAUAAACACAAAAGGAAUUAAUUGCAUUGACAUCCGACUCCUUGGCUGUGAAGAUGGCAGAAAGCGAGGUGGACACGCCGAGCACCCCGAUAGAGUACGAGAGCAAAUACUUCGAGCAUGAUGGAGUCCGCCUUCCUCCGUUUUGUCGAGGGAAGAUGGACGAGAUCGCCAACUUCUCCCUCAGAAGUAGUGACAUAUGGAUUGUUACUUACCCGAAAUCAGGUACGAGCCUGCUGCAGGAGGUAGUGUAUCUUGUGAGUCAGGGGGUGGACCCAGAUGAAAUUGGACUCAUGAAUAUUGAUGAGCAACUUCCAGUGUUGGAGUAUCCUCAGCCUGGCUUAGAUAUCAUUCAGGAGCUGACAUCACCUCGCCUGAUCAAAAGUCACCUGCCGUACCGCUUCCUCCCCACGGCCAUGCAUAACGGCGAGGGGAAGGUUAUCUACAUGGCCAGGAAUCCUAAAGACCUGGUGGUCUCCUACUACCAGUUUCACCGCUCUUUAAGAACCAUGAGCUACCGUGGAACCUUUCAGGAGUUCUGUCGCCGCUUUAUGAACGACAAGUUAGGAUAUGGCUCCUGGUUUGAGCAUGUGCAGGAAUUCUGGGAACAUCGCAUGGACUCAAAUGUCCUCUUUCUAAAACAUGAGGAUAUGUACAAGGACCUGGCUACGCUGGUGGAACAGUUGGCACGGUUCCUGGGUAUCUCGUGUGAUAAGGCUCAGCUGGAGAGCAUGGUGGAGAGCUGCAAUCAGCUUAUUGAGCAGUGCUGUAACUCAGAGGCUCUGUCCAUCUGCAGGGUGCAUGGAUUCUUUGCGUGUCUUGAUGGUGAGAAGUGAUGAGCAUGCAGUAGGGUCUUAGAUAAACAAUGAGCAUGGAGAAAGAGAAAGAGAGAGAGAAAGAGAGAGAGCGAGAGAGACAGGGGAAGUGAGAACCAAGGUCGCGUGGGCCUGUGGAAGGACAUCUUCACUGUGUCCAUGAACGACAAGUUUGAUGCUGUGUACCGACAGAAGAUGGGGAAAUCUGAUCUUACCUUUGAUUUUGUUCUGUGAGUGAACCACAUGGCGAUCAGGACUCAACCAAUCAGACCAACCUGCUCAGCUUGACACUGUCUGCACUUGCUUGAAUGGCCCCUUAUACACCUUCCACUUCUUCACCCUCCUUUCCCUUCCUUCCCAAUUUCAUCUCCAGCCUGACUUAGCUUAUGUGUUUAAAAAAAAAAAAAAAAGUUGCUCCUUGGUAGAAGAAUCGAAUCAGCACAUGUAACACUGCAAAGGUAAAUUUGAUCCAAAAUCGAUAUGUAAAAAUAUUUUCCGCCCGGAGCUUCAUCAUCAAGUGUGUUUGCAGCGUCUUUGUGUAAUACAGUGCAUCAGCAAUGCUUUAAUGCUUUAGCCUGGUGACAAGUGUGAGUAAAAUGCUUGGUGCAUUACAUAUUGUAUAGAGCUCUUCUUAUAGUACCCAUUUAUGAAAUGUAUAUUUAUCAAAUAUGGGAAAUACAUCAUUUAUAUUCUAUAAACUAAAACCUCAUUACAAAGUCUGAGAGAUGUUUGGAAAUGUUUCCAACGUUUGCUUGAUUUCUUAGCUUUUCGUAAAAAAUCAUUUGAUGACAAGAUGUUAUAUUGUAUACGCAUUCAGCCAAUCACAGGUGUGGGUCCUAGCACUGAAAGUUUUGACAGAUUGAAAUAUUUGUAAAGUCAAUCAUCUUUGUUUCUUAGUUGUGUUCUGAGAAUAUUGAUACACUGAUAAAUAUCGUUUAUGUUUGCUGAACUGAACAGCAUAACAGAUUAUGUUUCUACACAUGUGCAUGCAUACUUAGCAGUUUAUAGUGUGUGUGUGUGUGUGUGUGUGUGUGUGUGUGUGUGUGUGUGUGUGUGUGCGUAUGAGUGGCAUCAACACUUUUAAGCAAUAUUUUAUCAUUUACAGCAGCCUGGUAUAUUGUGCAAGCUCUGUGUUGAUAGAGUCAGGAUAAUGCUUUCUGCUCCAAGUUCAGCAUCUCCAGUUCAAUUCCAUCAUGUGUAUAAAAGUUUAGGACAGACAGCGCGGGGGUGGACAAAUAAUUAAAUUGAUUAGCGAGUCACUGGGCAAGUAAAAGCGCUGGUGUGCUACCCAGUCAAAGGUUUCGAUUCCCCAGUAAUUUAACUGGUUAGGCUAAAAAGUUGUAGCUGACAUGCUAGUUAGCUGGCUGGUUAUGACUCAGCCUUAGUCAUUAUCCUUCUUUAGAAUGUGUCCAAUGUAGGACAUCCUGUUUGUGACCUCGAGAAAAUUUCAGCAAGUCGCUGGUCAACACUUUGGCUAUAAGUAGGAAAGUUAUACGACAGCUUUAAGCUAUACUUUAUUUUGCUCUAUUGUGAGUUUAAACAUUUCAAAAUGAUAUGUUAACUUGAAUUCAUGAGUAACUCAUUAAGGAAUGAGGUAUUUUUUGAAACGAGAUAACUCGAAAUGACAACAUAUCUUGAAACUAGAUCACCUGAAAUAAUAAUGUAAUAUCUUGAUGUAACAGGUUGAGAACUCUAAAUAACUGCAAAUCCUGAAACUCGAAAUAAUGACAUAUUUUAAAACGAGAUAACUCAAAAUUAUGGUGUAACAUCUUGAAAUGAGAUGACCAGAAAUAAUGAAUUAUCUUGAAAUGAGAUGACCAGAAAUAAUGAAUUAUCUUGAAAUGAGAUAACCAGAAAUAAUUACAUAUCUUGAAAGAACAUAACUCGAAAUAACAUCUUGCAUUGAGAUAACCAGAUAUAUCAACAUAUCUUGAAACAAGAUAACUCAAAAUAACAUCUAAAAUGAGAUAACCAGAAAUAACAACAUAUCUUGAAACAAGAUAACCAGAAAUAACAACAUAUCUUGAAACGAGAUAACCAGAAAUAGCGACAUGUUUUGAAACGAGAUAACCAGAAAUAAUGAAUUAUCUUGAAACGAGAUAACCAGAAAUAGCGACAUGUUUUGAAAUGAGAUAACCAGAAAUAAUGAAUUAUCUUGAAACGAGAUAACCAGAAAUAGCGACAUGUUUUGAAACAAGAUAACCAGAAAUAACAACAUAUCUUGAAACGAGAUAACCAGAAAUAACAACAUAUCUUGAAAAGAGAUAACCAGAAAUAGCGACAUGUUUCGAAACGAGAUAACCAGAAAUAAUGAAUUAUCUUGAAACGACAUAACCAGAAAUAAUGAAUUAUCUUGAAACGAGAUAACCAGAAAUAGCGACAUGUUUUGAAACGAGAUAACCAGAAAUAAUUAUAUAUCUUGAAACAAGAUAACUCGAAAUAACAUCUAGAAUCAGCUAACCAGAAAUAACAACAUAUCUUGAAACGAGAUAACCAGAAAUGUCGACAUGUUUUGAAACGAGAUAACCAGAAAUAAUGAAUUAUCUUGAAACGACAUAACCAGAAAUAACGAAUUAUCUUGAACUGAGAUAAGAAGAAAUAACAACACAUCUUCAAAUGAGCUAUCCAGAAAUAAUUGCAUAUCUUGAAAUAACAUAACAACUUGAAAUAACGAUAUAAUACCUAUUGAUAUGAUGCCUUUAUAAUGAGUCAAGUUGAAAUAACAAAAUAACGAGAUCUUAAGUUAAAACAAUGUCUUGAAAUAACGAAAUAUUAAGCCGAAAUUACAAGAAAAUAUUUUGAAAUAACCAGUUCUUUGGUCCAGUUGAAGUCAAAAUAAUGACAUGGCACUUCAUUUUUAAGUUCUGAAAAGGUCGCUUGCCAUCCAUGCACAACAGUAAAAAUCGAGUAGUGUGUGCUCUAGUUACGAGGAUCGAGAAGCACAUUGCGUUUAAAUAUACGCAACAAAUAAAAACAUCUUUGUGAAAGUCAGGACUGAGAAGCUAUGGUUCUUUCUCAGUUGGUUGAAUGAGAGGAGAAAAUAAAGAACCCGCUGGUGAUGAAUAGAAAAUGAGUAGCUCAGAUAAGUCAUCUGAUUUGUCCACCCCUGGAGAGUGGGACAGCUUACACAGAAAUACACUACACUAUAGUGUGUCAUUCAUAGAUACGUGGUUUUUCUUCUAAACACUCGGUCAAGCUCGUUAAUAUCAUGCAAGAUAUUACACAUUAUGCCAGCUUCAUGUAAAAGUCCCUACUCAAAGAUGACUAAAAUACCAGCACUCAUAUCACGCCAUUUUAGAGCUCGAGGCUCCCCGACACACGCCGUUAAUGACAUCAUCACAGUUUCUAUCCUGACUGAAAAACACCUUACGUCUUUAUUGAAACCUUUCACCUAUUGAAAAUCUCUCAGAUUCUUGUCUCUUUUUUAAAAAGAAUUUUUAACAGAGUUGCUGAGGUGACAUGCUGAUGAUAUCUCAAUAUGGUAUGACCAUGAAUUCAUAUAUUUUCUGGAGAUCCAUUUUUGCGGCCACGGAGUGCAAGGUGUCCGAAAACGAUCUUUACAACUUUAAUACCAAAUGGAAAAUUAAAUAAACGUGCGUGGAAUUACAGUUCAGGGAAAUUUACAUAUACACAGAUGUGUUUAUUCUUAAAGUAACAAAGUUACAAACAAUCACUGCGAGCGCCAUGAGCACAGUUUAAUGUGCUUCUCUGUCAAACGGGACAAUCCUAGUAUUUCUACAACUCCUGCUUGACUUUUUACAUCGGAUAGAAGGUGUUAAGAUCAUUUUUGGACACAGUGUACUUUAACUCAUUGCAAAUACUGAUUAUAAAAUGAGCGAGUCAAAGAAAUCUCUUGAUUUAGAUCAGUGUGGUCACAGGAGCCCAAACACAGUAAGACUUCAGGCUUGAAAUGAAGAAUAAAGACAUUGUGGAGUCACUGGCGUUUUGACACUAGCUCACAUCACCAUAAGGGAAUUUUAAACGAGCAUUUCCACCAAAUAUUUAACCGGAGGCCUUGUAUUAAGUAUGAUCUUCUAUAACAGAUGAACUCAUGGUUAUAUUAUUCAUGGCCACGACUUCUUUAUCUUGUAGCCACAACAUAA